rnacentral:rRNA from 1 species
CCUACGGGAGGCAGCAGUGAGGAAUAUUGGUCAAUGGGCGCGAGCCUGAACCAGCCAAGUCGCGUGAGGGAAGACGGUCCUAUGGAUUGUAAACCUCUUUUGUCGGGGAGCAAAAGACGCCACGCGUGGCGUUCCGAGAGUACCCUACGAACAAGCAUCGCCUAACUCCGUGCCAGCAGCCGCGGUAAUACGGAGGAUGCGAGCGUUAUCCGGAUUUAUGGGGUUAAAAGGGUGCGCGGGCGGAUGUUAAAGUCAGCGGUAAAAUUGAGAGGCUCAACCUGUACGAGCCGUUGAAACUGGUAGGCUUGAGUGAGGGAGAGGUGGGUAGAAUGCGUGGUGUAGCGGUGAAAUGCAUAGAUAUCUCGCAGAACACCGGUGGCGAAGGCAGCACACCGGAGCUAAACUGACGCUCAUGUACGAAAGUGUGGGUAGCGAACAGGAUUAGAUACCCGUGUAGUC